ACUUCCGCUGUAAAGGGUGAAACGGUUCAGUUAAAGUGCAGUAUUUUUAAGAUAAAGUAAAAUGGUAUGCUGUUUCUUCAACAGAAAGGUGAGUAGGUCAGCCAUUAUGUUAAUGCUUAUAGGCAACAGAAUUGAUAAAAGUUUACAACAGUAAUUUAUCCUCUUAGAAAGGGCUCUUUCUCCACACAUCAUUAGGAUGUAAGGAAUUUUUCUCUCAACCGGCUGCAGAAUUUACUUUUAGUAUAAUACUUGGAUUGUGGAAAUUUUUAGCUCUCUGCUGACAUUCUUUGUGCUUCCACUCUAUGAAAUCAUUUCAUAAAACUGCUGUAAAAUAAGAACCUUGAGCUAUCUUCCAUGUGUUCAUUGCAGACCACAUUGCACUAGCAACCAUGACAAGUUUUCCUUUCAGUGCAUGGGCUGAUCUAUGUUUACAUGUCAUCUGUAUGCCGUCUAGAUAUGUUUAUUAAUAAGAUGAAAUACAAAAUCAAACAGGAAAGACAUGAAUGGCACCAGUAACAAACUUAUCCAAAAACACACCUCAUAUUUUCCAAUCAGAGGAAUACCCCUUUAGUAGUCACGCUUUAAAAGGGCAGUUUUCAGAGGCAGCACUACAGAAAUCUAAAGUAUAAAAUUUGUAGAAACUUAUCACAAAACAUUUAAAUAUCUACUUGAACUCCAAGAAAAUUACAUUCAGUUCAUUUACUGUUCCAUGAUCUCCAAAGAGUCAAAAACAGGACUGACAGAAUUUUCUGCGAUGAGGGAAAUAUCCUCUAUAUGUGAUCCAGCGUGGCAACAGCUAAUGGGCUACUGAGCAUUUGAACUAUAGCUAGUGUGAACAGGCAACUAAAUUUUUAAAAUUCAAUAAAUAGCCAGAAGCUACUAUUACUAGGCAGCAUAGGUCUAUAAAGCAGAGUACAUAGCUUACAGUUACCACUGCAGUCAUGCAGGUUGAAUUCCAUGAGACUUUUAUGCUAGCAAAUGUGGAUUUACAAUUAUGUUUUAAUUCCUCUUAGGCAGUUUGAUUCAUGCCAGAAGCUUCCUGGAGAUAAUUUUAACUAGUACAUUAUUGAAGAAAAGGUAUCUCUCUGGUCACUAAUCCAUCUGCCUCACGACUCGGCCCGCCUGCACCCAGGUGAAAUAAACAGCCUUGUUGCUCACACAAAGCCUGUUUGGUGAUCUCUUCACACGGACGCACAUGACCCUAGGACCUCAGCAUCUUGAAGAGGGGACAAGCUUUCCUCAACUCCCACUGUUUCGUAUACCCACUGAAUUAAAACAAACUGAAAAAUGAA